GGAAACCGAAAGGAGUGAAACACCCACUAGAUCCUGCCUCAGAUCCUCUGAAAAGCUCGGCUGUUCUGUUCCUUCGUCCUCCUCUCUUCGCGUUCUACAUUUGCUCGAGCCUGUCCAGGUGCCACUGGACAGCAGCACAAGGCUCUGGGCUGUCAGCCACUCCUCCCACGAUGGAACCACCAGCAGACUGGCUGAGGGGACCCUCUGUGCCUUCCUCCAGGUGAUGCACACGCUCCCGAGCUGGCCCAGCAGGAUGGCAUGGCAGCUGCUGCCAAAGGCCUUGAGGAAGGUGAGGAAGACAACACCUACUGCUCUCCCCUCAUCUACCCAGCCAGUCAUGACAGCUCAGCAAUUGGGUUGGUCAAGCAUGAUUUGCCCUUGGGACUGAGGUGAGGCUGGCUGGCCUGUAGUUCCCGGGCUCUCCUAGUCCAUUUUGAAUACCAAAGUGACAUUGGCUUUCCUCCAGUCCUCAGGCACCUCUUGUGUUCUCCACAGCCUUUCAAAGAUGAUGGAAAGCAAUAUUUGCCAGCUCCCUCAGCACUUGUGGGCACAUCCCCUUGGGCUCCACAGAUGUGUGAGGGACAAGUUUGCCUAAAUGAACUCUAACCCCAGCCUCCUCAAACAGGGGGAAGUUCUCAUUUCUCCAGGCUUUCUUUCUUGCUGCCAGGGUCUGGGAUUCCUGACAGCCACCUCUUGCAGUAAGGACUGAGGCACAGAAGGCUUUCAGCAACCCCACCUUCUCUCAUCAGGGUGUCCACCUCAUGCAGAAGCAAGCCCACAUUUCCCUCUUUGCUUUUUGCUACUUGUUCAUUGCAGAUGAUGCUACAACACACAUUCUGAAUCCAGUGCUACACAGAUGACCAAAUAUUCCAGUGCAGGUAAGGUUCACCCAUAAAAACAUAAAUAUGAAGUGCAACUUAUUUGCUAGCUUUUUGCAUGAAAUGCAAGCAGACAUUCCUAAAAUGUUGAUUAUGUGAUGCCCUCUCCACACCAGCACAAUCGGUGUUGCAAAGUCUGCAAUAUUCACAAGGAACUCCACAUCCCUUAGACCCUCCUCAUCAGAACUGUACCAUGCCCUUUCUUGCCUGGGGCACAAGAAUUAUGCAAAAGGGAGACUUUCCUCCUGGAUUUGAAUGGAGGAUGGAUGUGGCUCACUUUACAUGCAGACAGGGUUAAUUUUUUCUUCUUCCUGCAUUCUUUCAAGCAGCCAUCCCGGAGAAGUGUCAUAUUUCCUUACCUCUCACUCCUAGGCUUCUAAGUUGGACCUGGAUUUGAAUUUCCCUGGCAUUAGAGAGGAGUCUCAGCGUUCUGGUUUGGGUCCAUCGCACAAUGGUGGGUGGGAACUUCACAUGAAGGGAGUUUGAUUUGCUUAUUCCCCUUCCAGCCUCUCGUUUUACACAGAUCCCCUGUCUAGACUCCCCCCUUUUGUGCAGCUGUGAUACGGGGACGAAUCACUUCUUUAAAGAGGAAAUGAAGCAUUGCCUUCCCACGGGAGAAUUCCUGAAGACAGAAAGACAGGGUGGUUAGCACUGCAGCCUUGUCCUGGCUUGCCUACACAUGAAAGUUAUUUCAGAAUAAGCCAGGGGUUGAAUGUAAAGCGGCACAGGCAUUCCACAGCUGCUGUGUGCGUUGCUGAAAUCUCAGCAGAAGCAAUGGGCUGAGGUCGCUGCAUGCUGAUUCAUUGGGACUCCCCUGAGUCUUUGUUAGCUGGGUCCAACAGAAAGAAACAGGCAAACGCUUUUGGAACUUUGUGUGUGGUGCAAUAUAUACAAAAGCAGAAGUAAACUGCUGCAGAACAGUCAGGAUUAAAUAAAGAAUUCUUUAUUUUCCUAACUUUAUAAUACUGAAGCAAUGAGACAUCUCUAGGACUUCUUUUCAGAGUAGAAUGAGAAAUCAAGAGGAAGACGCAUGGGAAGGUGCCUUCAAGCCAUUUUGUUCCUUCUGGGUCCCGUACCAAAGGUAUUUCAGUCCUGCCUGUGUCCCCUUCAGCUGCAGCAUGCCUGGCUCUGGCACAGCCAGUGGGAAGCUCACAGGUGCUCUUCACCACUUGAAAGGCACACUGUGGUGCAUGAUUGCUCGAGGGAGGCAGAUCCCAGCCCAGAAACAUCCACUCCAUUUCCCACACCGGCACAGAUGCAAUCCAAAGACAAACACUGCCUGGCAUCAGUUUAGCCAGAUUUCACUCAAGUAUUCUACACAAACCAGGUUUACAGAGAUGGCUUUUAACAGAAACUUCGUGUCCACCAUGUCCUGAACAGUCUGGCGCUGCACCUUUGGCUCCACCUCCAUCCCUCCCAGCUGCUCGCUGCAGGACAGAAGGAGGGCAGUCAAACCAAAGUAAAGGUGUGCCCACCUUGAGAGGGGCCAGGCACUGGCACAGCUUGGCCAGGAAAGCUGUGGCUGCCCCAUUCCUGAAGUGCUCAAGCCAGGCUGGUGGGGCCCUGGGCAAUCCAGUCAAGUGGAAGGUGUCCCUGCCCAUGGCAGGGGGUUGGAACUGGAUGAUCUUUAAGGUCCCUUCCAACCCAAAGCAUUCUGUGAUGCUGUGGUAAUAUGUUGGAAUAAAAUGUUUUCAGAAGGGUGACUGCUGAAAUGAGCACCGUUCAGUGUGUUCAGCAUAAAAUUAACAUGUGUUUUUAACAUACUUCCCUCCCCCAAAUAUAGUGGACUCCAAACUUCCCAGCUGGCUGAAACAGAAGCAUUUUAUGCCCCCCAAAUUUAGGAAAUAUUUUCCCCUGGAUUUAUAAGCAUGCACAUUUUUGUCUUCCCUAAAAUGUGAUCAGAGACUAAUGAACAAAAUUUAAUGUAACAACAGCUUAAAGACUUGUUUGGGUUUUUUCCCCAAGUCCUAGGCUAUGUCUUUACCUAGAAUAAAAAUAUGUAUUUUAAUGUACCUAUAAAGUCCAAAUUGAAAUAGGUUUUCCUACUGUUCUGACAUAAACUGACUGUUAGAACAGGGGUUAGGUUCAAUUUUUAGAGGGUCUAUCCAAAAAACUAAGAACAUUUAGGCAAUUUUUGAGCUUUCACGGAGAAAUGUGGGGAAACUGCAUUAUAUUACCUGUGCCUCAUUGUGUGAAACACCUCCAACUGUGAGCAAUAAAGUGAAAAAUGUAUUUGAACAGACUUAACAUUUUUGGAGGGGGAAGAAAGAAAAGCUCAAUAAAUCACAGCAAUUUGGUAAAUCUGAGCAACGCUCUCCAGCACCUUUCACUUGGCACGUUGGCAGUAGUCACGGAUAUUUUCUCCUCUAGCUGGAACUGCUCUGCAGCGAGCAGCUCCUGCCAUCUCCCUUCCCUGCUCCCCACAGUACUUUUUCUCCAGCUCAGAGAAAUGCAGUCACAGAACAUGCUGAUGUCUUGCUCCUGUUUUCUGCAGCAAAGAUAUAAUUCUUCAGUCAAACACAUCAAUUCUAUAGAGGUAAAGCUUCAAAAACAGACAUACGCACAGUGCUCCAGAGAAGAUGUACCAUCUGCCUUCCCCUCUCCUCCUCCUCCUCAAAGGAAGGAAGAAAGAAAUGUAGCAGAGGCUUAGCUCUUCAUUACCUGCUUGCACUGACAUUCAUGAGAUUCCCUGCAGGAUUUUUCUUGCUAACCAGGCAGCAUGAACACCCACAAAAAUUGGCAAGGAGAUGACUUUUAACUCAUUUUCACAAACUGGCUCUAUUUCAAGUAGACAGUGUCUCUCUGGUAUCAAACCAGGAAAAAAUUUGGUUUUGCUUUCCUCUGAAAAAUAGAAAAGGCAAGUAACCAUCUUACUGUUUGCCUUGAAUACUAACAGUGAAAAAUGACAUUUCAAGGAUGAAAAGGAGUUCAAUUUCAUCUCUCAAAACCUGAGGGUGAAGUUCCGUGUUGGCCUGAUAAUAUAUUUUAGCUGAGCAUUGUGAAACCUGAAGUAGAGUUUGCUUUCUGCACUGUCUACCCCCUUGCCACUACUCUAGAGGUGCAGGCACUAUUGCUGGCAGCAGGGAACACUCAGAUGUUGAAUUCAGAGCUUGGACAUUGCGUCAGGAGAGAGCUGUCACUGCUGCACCAGUCAUUAGAAUGCAACAUUAUGCACCCACAUGAUAUUUGCAUCCUGGGAAAAUCAGACUCUUGGUACAGAACCAAAAACUUAACUUUGUUCCAAUAGUUUUUUUUGGAUUGAGAAAAGUUAAACCAUCUCCUUCAGGAAAAAAAAAAAAAAAAGAAACUCAGAAAAGAAAACAAAAUAAAACCAACCAGCCUUCUUUUAUCCAAUGUACCCUGAGUAAGGAAAUUUACUCUCUUGGCAGAACUAUACAAGGCUUGACAAGGCUUGAGAUAGACUUGACAGAUGACUCAGAUCAGAAACACAAAGAAGCAGUGGGUAAGAAAGCAUUGUUGUAGAAGUGUGGCUGCAGAGUUACUCAGUACAGGAAAGCAUGUGCAUUCUCAGAUAAUAUUAAUCUUAAUUAGCUUUAAUUUAGGUGAAUUCGUUGUCUGGGUGCUACCAAGAAGUGCUAUGCCAAACAGGUUAUCCAAGAUACUUCCCUAUCUCAGAAUAGUUACUUCUGGACUACUUCUGGCUGAUUUGAGUCUCUUGGGGCAGCGAGGUUCUGUGGCUGCACGUAGGAAGUGUCACGUUUGAGAGACAACAACCAAGCUCUGCUUGGAAAUGACCAAAUUUGCUGUACACUGUCUCU